GACGAACGCUGGCGGCGUGCUUAACACAUGCAAGUCGAACGGAAAGGCCCUGCUUUUGUGGGGUGCUCGAGUGGCGAACGGGUGAGUAACACGUGAGUAACCUGCCCUUGACUUUGGGAUAACUUCAGGAAACUGGGGCUAUUACCGGAUAGGAGCUCCUGCUGCAUGGUGGGGGUUGGAAAGUUUCGGCGGUUGGGGAUGGACUCGCGGCUUAUCAGCUUGUUGGUGGGGUAGUGGCUUACCAAGGCUUUGACGGGUAGCCGGCCUGAGAGGGUGACCGGCCACAUGGGGACUGAGAUACGGCCCAGACUCCUACGGGAGGCAGCAGUGGGGAAUAUUGCACAAUGGGCGGAAGCCUGAUGCAGCAACGCCGCGUGCGGGAUGACGGCCUACGGGUUGUAAACCGCUUUCGCCUGUGACGAAGCGUGAGUGACGGUAAUGGGUAAAGAAGCACCGGCUAACUACGUG
rnacentral:rRNA from 1 species